UAAGAAGUAGGUAAAGGGCAUACCAUAAAACUUUGAAUUUUAUAUUAAGAGUUCGACUCUCUUCUUCUUAG
rnacentral:tRNA from 1 species